CUAUGAACUCUGCUCCCACCUGUUUUCCACAAGAAUUCAUGAACAAAAUCACAUUAAACUUGCUGUAAUGAAACAGUACUCUGCAGUUAGAGUAUAACCCAUCUCUGGAUGGUUGACCCCAAAUGGAUCACACAGCAUGGAAAGAAGUGGAUGGAAUCUUGUGUCUAAAGUGGAGGGUGGGGUAUAAAAAUCAAGACUUUCACAACCAUUGCACUUGGAUUUUUGGUGAAAAUCAUUGAACUUGAGACCUCAGUCAUAUUUUUCUUUUCUUUUUAAUUUUUAAUUUUUUUUUGCUGUCCCUUCCACUUGAUUUUAUAUUUUUACUCAAUCAUGGAGUAGACAAUUGUCUAUAGCCCACUAGUUGUCAUAGCAAAGGCAAUGUGUAGCUUCUAAGUGUAGAGAAAUAGACAAAGAAUCCAUGGUAGGUGAACAGUGAACUGCCAAGAAGUAGGCAAUUAAAUAUUUUUUAAUCCUCAAAUUAUAUUUCUUUAUCAAGAA